GUUGCGAUCCCUCCGGGGAUGAUCAGCGAC
rnacentral:other from 1 species